AGCCCUUUAGCCCCUACCUUCUUGGUUCUUUGUUAAGUUGAAUCAUGGGUUCUGAGAGAAAGGGUCGCCAUUUUCAUUUGUUUGGGGUUUUGAUGUUGAUUGCUACUUGUUAGGCAUUUUUUAGAAUUUGUGAUGGGUUUUAGUUGGUUUGGUUUGGCGGUUCGUGAGCUUGCUAUUAUUGUUGACGAAUUUUGAUGCUGAAAGACUUGGAAACCACGCUGUCCACCACGUCGAGAAGCUGAGUAACGUUCCGCGUGUACAAUGGCGCCUCUUAAUAAAAGGAACUGAAGCCAUCCAAUCUAGUGCUUCCAUCCAAUCGUGCAGGCUGCAUGAAAGUCACAUUUACCUUUGCUGUGAACAUCACACAUACACAGAUAGGCCUACACUAUUUGAAGGUUCAUGUUUACAUAGCAGUGGUGUUGCUGUCCAAUGUGGCGUGUUGUUGCAGCCUAUGGUAGUGAAAGCUAUCUGCAUCAAGUUGCUGUUCCUUGUGCAUCCAAGGUGCUGGUUUUGUGCUACAGAAGUGACAUCCAAUAUUGUGUUUAAUUGCUAUUCGUGUCUUUGCAGUUUACCUUUAUAUAUUGAGAAGGAACAAAAAAAAUAGUAUUACGGGGAGGUUUAUGUCAAACAAAUAAUAAACAUGUCCAGGAUGGGGGAAUGAGGAGGAAUUUGGGGUUGGAUAUUUGGUUAUGAUUUACUAAAAGAAGUGAGGUAUAUUUUUAAUGAAUGUACAGUACUUGGUGAUAAAAUCUGUUGUUAA
rnacentral:misc_RNA from 1 species